CAUGUGCGCGAGCUUCGGGAUUCCAUGAGAACCCUACCUGACGGACCGGNCUCUGUGCGGUGCGAAUUUUUCCCCCCCCCUCGSCCGGAUUCAUUUCGGUGAAAGCGAAGCGGGGAGCCCACCCGGAGGUCCCGAUCGGCGGAGGAAGSCGAAAUGAAAGUGAGCAAGGCGAGAUCCCGAACCCCCGGUGUUGAAACAUACCCGGGACACAUGGUCGUGGCGCAUCGCCGGCCCGCCCGUUUAACGCCCGGUGCUUGUGGUGCAGCGUCGAGAUGGGACGUCAAAAAUCCCGCCUCCGUUUUGCGCCCUCGCUUCUCGAGCGAACAAAGGGUGGAGUCUGAGUGCACACGUUGGUACCCGAAAGAUGGUGAACUAUGCCCGGGCUGGACGAAGCCAGAGGAAACUCUGGUGGAGGUCCUUAGCGAUUCUGACGUGCAAAUCGAUCGCGUGACCCAGGUAUAGGG
rnacentral:rRNA from 1 species